AAAAAAUCUCAAGAUGUUUGAGAGGUUUUGCACAAGGCAAUUGUGUGUUGAAUUGGAGGUCCUCAAACUGAAGAUGCAGCUCUGUAUUUAUAAUGUUGAUUUUUGCUUGACACGGCUAGAUAAUUAUGGAGUCCGACUACAACUUUAACUUGCAGAAUGAAAUAUGAUCCGUGUGGCUGACUUUUCAAAUGAAAACCCAUCUAGGUUUAUCCCAUCAUGACCAAAGACCUAGCCUACCUAGGCUUCCUAUCAUAACUACAUCACCAUCAAAUCCUAGGCUUAUCACAUCACCAAAAACCUAGCUUUCCUAGGCUCUCAUCAUCUUUUACCAAAACUUCCGCAUGCAUCCUGACCCUAUGAAUAUUAAAUUCAUUUUUAAUUAUCACCAUAUUUAAAUGGAUAAUAAUCUGUUCGGAAUCCAAUCCUAUUAGUAGUUCCAAGUGACCUCAUAAUAUCAUCAUGUUCUGCAUGCUUCAUUAUCUGAUGCCGUGCAUAUCUGUUAACCAAAAACUGAUCCAACCACACACCCAUAUGCCAAACAUCCACAUCAACUUGAAUUAUCUUGAAUUGUGCCGCCUGUUUCCUAGCUUGGAGAUAUAUUAUUUUCACAUGAAAAUGUCGAGAUAAAUCAUUAUUAAAAGAUAAUUAUGAUAAAAAUCAUAAUGUUAUCUUUUAAUAUUAAUAAAAUUAUCUUCACGAAUUCAUCGAUAGUGUGGAAGUACGUUCACUCAAUGGCCUCGAUUACUCGGGCCGAUGGUGCAAUUUUGGGUCCAAACAGCAGCGUAGGUCAAUGGGUAGGUCCUUGCCAACGCCUCCACCACCUAUGCCUACAGUCGCCACUGCUCUACCAGCAUUAGCCCCGACGUCGGAGGUUGUCUUACAUCCACCCCAGGCCACGAUGUCUACAAUGCUUGAGUCAUCUACUUCUUUGGUGACUCAUCCGUUAUUAAGCGCCUAGCGGACUCAUCGACUGCCCGGAUUACCAACAAGGUAGAGGAGUAUGCAUCGAAUUCCACUGCAAACAGAAAGGAAGCCGAUACAGGGGCCCAAGCAAGCUCAUGGGCACCUCACAACUCACAUGCACCACCCAGGAGCAUAUAAAGAUUACAUGGGAUAUCUUAUUUGCAGCAUCAUUAUGAGUUCGAGGACCUUGAUGCCAAUCAAAUCAAAUACAUCCAAGAACUCUUCACCGACUGGUUCACUCAGUGAAAGAGUGACCUCCACAAGUAUUUCUAGAAAUUCAACGAUCCGACUGUCACUCUAGCACAUGGGUGCCCCUUAGAGUUGGUGAAGCGCCCUGAAAAUUGGGCCUGGCUCUACACCCAUUUUCAAGAUGAAAAAUACUUGAAAAGAGGCAAGGCCAACACAAUAAAUAGGUUGAAGAAGAAGCUUCUCCACCACUCCGGCUCCCGACGCUUCUUAUACAGGAUGGAGGAACGACGUCAGGCUGAUGGGGUCGAAGUUUCCUGAGAUUAACACAUUCAAGGAGGUGUACAUACAGCCUGGCGAUGAGUUGACAGAGAAGCUCCAUGCUACUAUGGUCGAGAUGAGUCAGGUUGUCCUCGAGGAAGUGGCUUCCCAGCUUCCCUCUAACACCCCGAUGAAGGAGUUGCCCCCCCCCCUUCCUUAAGGAUGCAGGUCUUCGUAUCAUGAUAGACACCAUCGACCAAAAACUUAGUCUUAGGUGGGGGAAGGUGUAUCAGGGCAUGGGAAAUGCCCGCUAUUGUGAGACGGGAACCUCAUCUUCCACCUCCACCUAGAGACAGGUCGCAUCAUUGAUGAAGCAAGUAGCGGAACUCCAGCAGCAAGUGGCGGCCCAAAAUCAGUACAUUGCGAAGCAGACUGCCCAUAUCGCCACCCAGCAUGCUUAUAUAGCUACCCAAGAGUCUAGGAUGGCCCAGAUCAUCACCACGCUCUUACAAGGGGAAGCUUCGACAUCCCCGCCGCUACACCUCCUCCCACUACACCUACGACUUCCUAUGCCCCCAACCCAGUACAGCUAACUGCCGGAGCUGACUCUGAUAACUUUUUAUUGUAGUUUUUUUUUAAUUAAACAUUCCUACUUUUAAAAAAUUUCCCAGCUUGUACGUACAUUUUCAUAUUUAUUUUUAAUUAAUAUUCUUCUUUAUCAA